CUAGUACAAAAAUUUAGAGCUCUCAAAAAUACAUAAAAAUUGGAAUCUGAGUUUCGAAACCGCUCAUCACAUUUUGAAACCCUUGAAAGCAUGUGAUUUGAUAUAGGAUAUUGGUUGUGAUUAGGCAAGCCCGCUUUCUUCACUCCGGAAAUGAGAGAGAAAGUGAGAAACAAACCAUGUUCUCUUCCGAGGUCUCCACUAUGUAAAUCAAGACCAUAAGACAUAGCUAGAGAGAUGAUGUUUCUUCUUUCAGUUUAAGGCAAUGGAGACAUAGCUAGAGAGAUGAUGUUUCUUGUUUCAGUGUAAGGGCAAUGGCUCCUAAGUCCUAAAUCGUAUGAACGAACGAACGUACGUACGUACGUGCAAGGCGGUGAGAGAUCACGUGUGGACGGUGAGUGAGUGACACGCAAAAACGAAGUGCGUAGAGAGAAGACUAAAAUAAUAAACUCUCCGCAGAAUCUGCCGACUAAAUAAAGAAGAACUGGUAGGACCUGAACGAACAUAUCUAUCUAUCUGCUUAAAUUUGAGUCCCACACCCACUUCGGCGACUUAUCCCAUGCAAAAACCUAAACCUUAGGCCAUGAAUGGUGAAUACAAAAGCGUGGUCCAUAUCGGAGUAACGUCCAUAUGUGAUACCAUUUAAUCCAAUUCUCUCUUUAUUAGCAAUUUUUGUAAUUUUUUUUGUUGAGAUUUGUUGAAUUAACCAAUAUAUAUAGGUAUAAAAUAUUUUUAAACA